CGAGCGCAGCGAGAAAGCGUUGCCGCAGGCAACGACCCGAAGGGCGAAGCGCGCAGCGCUGAGUAAUCCUUCCCCCACCACCA
rnacentral:sRNA from 1 species